GUGUUUGUUUAUAGACUGCACAACGCAGUAUACACAUUCGUUGACGUUGUAGAGAUGUCACAGUUCACGGUGUAAAAGAGGUAAAGGGCCGGGUAAACCAUCGCUGGCCACCCCGCACCCAGAUUCAAUAAUGAUCCUUCCGCAGGUUCACCUACGGAAA
rnacentral:misc_RNA from 1 species